rnacentral:lncRNA from 1 species
CUUCCGAGCUUCAUCCGGCGGCGAGAAAAGCCGAACAUUUUGGGCAUGGAGAGCUUCAAACAUAUAUAAGAAGGGAAGGAGCGGAGAUGUCAAGUCAACAAGCAGCAAGCAUAGCAAGAAUAAGGGAAUGUAGCGGGACAGAAAACCUAGAAAGAGGAGGAAAGGUAGUUGGAGAAGGGGCAAUAGAAGGUAGAAAGCAGAGGAGAGAUCUCUGGAGCCAUUUGGGGAAGGAAGCUGCGGUGGUAGGAGAGAAACGAGUUCAGAGCUCAAACAAAAUCCAGUUUCCAUUUUACUUUUUUUUUUUCUUUUUUUUUUUGUGAAAAUGGCAAUUUCAUAUAACUCUAACGUGAGUACACCUUGUCAUAUCAGAAGAAAGCAAAAAAUACAGUGGGGGCGGGAGCCCUGCCGUGGAAGUCCAACAAAAGUCCCCUGAAUAUCGUGCAACGUAAGAGGCGACCCAGUCUGCCACACUGUUCGCCUCCCGGAACACAUGUACUGCCUCGAAGUCGUCCAUCUCCAAGGCCAUCCUGCGGGUCUCCCGAAUGAGAGGAUGUCCAUCACCAUAUCUGUCCGCACCCUGAAUCCAGUCGAUCACUAUAGAGGAAUCC